rnacentral:rRNA from 1 species
GGACCCGCACAAGCAGCGGAGCAUGUGGUUUAAUUCGACGCAACGCGAAAACCUUACCAAGACUUGACAUCGUAUGCAUAUCUAUGAAAAUAGUGAAUCCCUUCGGGGCAUAUAGACAGGUGGUGCAUGGUUGUCGUCAGCUCGUGUCGUGAGAUGUUCGGUUAAGUCCGGCAACGAGCGCAACCCUUAUAUUCGGUUACCAAUAUUAAGUUAGGAACUCCGGAUAGACUGCCGUGGCUAACACGGAGGAAGGUGGGGAUGACGUCAAAUCAUCAUGCCCCUUACGUCUUGGGCUACACACGUGCUACAAUGGAUGCUACAAAGAGCUGCGAGCUCGUAAGAGUAAGCGAAUCUCAAAAAAACAUUCUCAGUUCGGAUUGUGGGCUGCAACUCGCCCACAUGAAGUCGGAGUUGCUAGUAAUCCCGAAUCAGCAUGUCG